GAUGAACGCUGGCGGCGUGCCUAAUACAUGCAAGUCGAGCGAACAGACGAGGAGCUUGCUCCUCUGACGUUAGCGGCGGACGGGUGAGUAACACGUGGAUAACCUACCUAUAAGACUGGGAUAACUUCGGGAAACCGGUGCUAAUACCGGAUAAUAUAUUGAACCGCAUGGUUCAAUAGUGAAAGACGGUUUUGCUGUCACUUAUAGAUGGAUCCGCGCCGCAUUAGCUAGUUGGUAAGGUAACGGCUUACCAAGGCAACGAUGCGUAGCCGACCUGAGAGGGUGAUCGGCCACACUGGAACUGAGACACGGUCCAGACUCCUACGGGAGGCAGCAGUAGGGAAUCUUCCGCAAUGGGCGAAAGCUUGACGGAGCAACGCCGCGUGAGUGAUGAAGGUCUUCGGAUCGUAAAACUCUGUUAUUAGGGAAGAACAAAUGUGUAAGUAACUAUGCACGUCUUGACGGUACCUAAUCAGAAAGCCACGGCUAACUACGU
rnacentral:rRNA from 1 species